rnacentral:rRNA from 1 species
GCGAACGCUGGCGGCAGGCCUAACACAUGCAAGUCGAGCGGCCGUAGCAAUACGGCAGCGGCAGACGGGAGAGUAACACGUGGGAACGCGCCCUUUGGUUCGGAAUAACUCAGGGAAACUUGAGCUAAUACCGGAUAAGCCCUUACGGGGAAAGAUUUAUCGCCAAAGGAACGGCCCGCGUCCGAUUAGCUAGUUGGUGAGGUAACGGCUCACCAAGGCGACGAUCGGUAGCUGGUCUGAGAGGAUGACCAGCCUCACUGGGACUGAGACACGGCCCAGACUCCUACGGGAGGCAGCAGUGGGGAAUAUUGGACAAUGGGCGCAAGCCUGAUCCAGCCAUGCCGCGUGAGUGAUGAAGGCCUUAGGGUUGUAAAGCUCUUUCGCUCGUGACGAUGAUGACGGUAACGAGAGAAGAAGCCCCGGCUAACUUCGU